CCUACGGGGCGCAGCAGUGGGGAAUAUUGCACAAUGGGCGCAAGCCUGAUGCAGCCAUGCCGCGUGUGUGAAGAAGGCCUUCGGGUUGUAAAGCACUUUCAGCGGGGAGGAAGGCGUUAAGGUUAAUAACCUUGGCGAUUGACGUUACCCGCAGGAGAAGCACCGGCUAACUCCGUGCCAGCAGCCGCGGUAAUACGGAGGGUGCAAGCGUUAAUCGGAAUUACUGGGCGUAAAGCGCACGCAGGCGGUCUGUCAAGUCGGAUGUGAAAUCCCCGGGCUCAACCUGGGAACUGCAUUCGAAACUGGCAGGCUAGAGUCUUGUAGAGGGGGGUAGAAUUCCAGGUGUAGCGGUGAAAUGCGUAGAGAGCUGGAGGAAUACCGGUGGCGAAGGCGGCCCCCUGGACAAAGACUGACGCUCAGGUGCGAAAGCGUGGGGAGCAAACAGGAUUAGAUACCCGUGUAGUC
rnacentral:rRNA from 1 species